GUUAAUGUUCUGAUUAAAUCGGCCAUCAUCGGGUGUGGAAGAGAUCAGGUAAACAAACACAGCGCCCCCUGGUGGAGACAUUAUCAAGCCUGCGGUGCCGCGUUACCUGCCGAUCUAGUACAGAUGGAUUGAUCUCAAGAACAGAACACUGGCCCUUGGCAAGAUAAACUGACACCUUACCUACAAUGCUGCCCAACUGAAACAGUACAAGUGUGUGUGUUGGUUGUUUACUGAUGCACACAGCAAUCCAGUUGUGAUCAGCACAGGCGGCUAGAGACCUAGACUAUCAAUUUGCCUCCCACCUCUCUGAUCACACUGUAUCCAGAAGAUGCAAGUCUUUUCAUAUCUCGCUGGUCCGCUGAUAGCCGCCGCACCUCCUGCUGAUGCAUGCUGGGACUUCAG